GUUUUCUGAGUACAUGUCCUCCCAGAGGCAGCUAAGUUUAAAAGGUAUUCUCCGCUCUCCCCCGGCAUGGGCAGUCCUUGCAGCCUGUUUGUUUUGGGGUUGAAUUCCAACUGUUUUGGCAAAUCUGCACCGCUGGCCAAAGUGACCUGUUCCAUAAAAGGACAGAAGAUGAGCAGAACUGGAGACAGGAAACAGGACUGUUACGUCUGGGAUUCCUUGGAGGAUCUUUGUUUCUUUGCAUGUGUUAUUUGAUUCCUUGGCAACCACAGCAGGCAUGUUUACACAGAGAGAUACCAGUACAAGGAGGAGAGGGAGUGUGGGUAAAAUCUGCGUCCCCAGGAGCAAACAGGACACCGAGAUUUGCUGCUGCUUCCAUCUCUGCUUCUGUCAUGAUAAAAGACCACUUGGUCUCUAGGAGAUGA
rnacentral:lncRNA from 1 species